rnacentral:rRNA from 1 species
CGACUCUCGGCAACGGAUAUCUCGGCUCACGCAUCAAUGAAGAACGUAGCAAAAUGCGAUACUUGGUGUGAAUUGCAGAAUCCCGUGAACCAUCGAGUUUUUGAACGCAAGUUGCGCCCGAAGCCAUUCGGUUGAGGGCACGUCUGCCUGGGCGUCACG